rnacentral:lncRNA from 1 species
AAUUCCAAGUCAAUAUCUGAUUUUGCAUAGAUUACACUUUGACUUGAAAUUUUUGUUCUUAAGUUCAAAUAAUGUUUUACACUUGCAUCUUACACAUGACCUUAAGACCAUAUGAUAGGUUGACGUUGCCAUGGACUCACACAUUGCUAUUUGGCUCUUAUAAUGCCAGUUUUAUUUUUACAAUUUGUGAGUUAUUUUAAUUACUUUCUCUAAGUCGGUAUUCAUGCUAUAGUAAGUAAUGGAAGUGGUUAAAAACAGUAAACUAAAUUGCAUUCUCUCAACUUGUUUUUUACAAACUAAAAAAAACCACCAAGUGGGUCUAUUUUGAUAUACACUUGCUUUGAGUCUUCGAGUAUUCACACAAGUCUUAUUCAUGUCUAUUCACUUGCCCAAAGUGUUGAUUUCAUAUGAAUUAACAUUCCUUGAUAUUGAAUGUUUAUAAAUCUUGAACAUGCACAAAUUACUCAAGUGGGCUUGAACAAAACGCAAAUCUUAUUGGAAUAUCUUUAUGUUUGUACCCACAAGCUAUAAAUGAUGUAUAUGUGCUAUUAGACUUGAUAGAAGUAUUCAAUCAUGUAUAUGACUUGUUUUGACCUCUCACAAGUUUAAUGUUUAAGGAAUGCCCAAGAAAUAGGUUGAGGGAAAUUUUUUAAGAAAAUAGAGCCGAAUUCAAAUAGAGUUAUCUAAGGCUUAAGUGAUCCAAAUACAAAAAAGUUUGAGUAUAAUGUCAAGCCCCGGAAGUUAGCUUUCCAAUGAAACUAAUUUCAUAACCAAACUCAAAGUAUUGAAGAAGUUAUGACCAAAAAAGUGAGAGCUAUUGUUAAGCAGAGUUUCUGCAAAAUCUGCAGUCCAGAUUGUCCAACUUCAAAUGGGAUUAUCUCAGGAUUUAUAAAUAAAUUAUGUCCAUUUUACUGAGGCUUGGUCUGUCAGACAACGGCAAAAAAAAAAAAAAAACCGAACUUUAACUGAACCAACCUUCGUCGACCAAUUUGACAAGAUUUGCGACCGAAGUUUCCAGAAAAAGAGCAGUUCACUUGGCCAGUGGAAGUUCAGUUCAAGUUCGACCGAAGUUACUUUCGACCAAAGUUAGAAAAUGUGUGACAAAAGUUUGCAAAAAUAGAUCUGGACGCUCCAAUUCAAAUUCCAACGGCUCUGUCACUUUUUCAAUGGGAAGAUUUGAUAAAAUUCAUAUAAAUACAACCCUUGGGGUUGUGGAAAACUUAUGGAAGUGCACUAAAAUUAUUUCUAUUCUUCCAUUCAUUAUCUAGCACUUCAAAAUUUCGUGUUGAAUUCCUUUUGUUCCUAUCUCUACUUUCUAAUUUGAAAUUUGAAUGGGGUCCGACGUAUUAGGUGUAUCUUAGCAUGGUGGUGGAAUUAGUAAAAAAGCUUAAUAGUUAAGAUUUGGGUAAAUUUCACCAAUAGUCCAUUGACUUACUGAGUUUACCCAGGACCAGACCUGAUUAGUGGGAUUAAAAGAAAAAUAUAGUUAAAUCAAUACGAUAAAUAUUGUAACUUUUUCACAUCAUAAUAUCUCCACAAUUCUCGAAAUCCAAACACGUUUUUUAAAUGGCCAACAGAUGAAUUAUUUUCAACAUGCGUGCAUGGGUCUAGUGAGAGCCUGUAAUACACUAACCCAAAUAAGACUUUAUUUUCUUAAUUUAUACUAUUUAGUUAGAGAGAAUUAUUUUUUUUUUUUGAUACGUGACAGUUUUUAAAAUUGUGUAUAUUUUCUUUUAAAAAAAUAUCCCUAUAAACUUAUUUUUUAAUAACAGGUUGGGUACGUUAGGGGAUAAAAAGGAUAAUUGCACUUCCAAUUGUAUAAAAUUACACUCGCACCCUUCUAGUUUUCUUCAAUGCACUUCUUUAUAAAAAAAAUAAAAGGAAAAAAGUAAAGGUUAGCUAUAUGUUUUCCAUAUCAACCAAAUUAUACAAAGAGGGCUACUAUUAUUUGUGGGCUCAAUCCAACCACUAGCAAAAUAUGGAGUGCUAAUGAUAAUGCAUAAAAGUUAAGAGAGUGGCAAGUAAUUGACCCAUCAUUAAGUUCACAAAGGGGUGGAGCCAGAAUUUUAGGUUAGAAAGGGUAAAGUGUAAAAAAAAAUAUUAAUAUAUAUUUUAGGAGAGCUAAAGUAUAAAAAAAAAAUUAGUAUAAAUUUUAUAAUAUUUUAAAAUUCAAGGGGGGCUAGCCUAGCUUGGUACCGCCCCGUUCACAGCUACUUUUUUAUGUUAAGUCAAGUCUUUUAAGCAUCUCCAACCUAAUUUUCCAUUUUGAAAGAUUGAAUAAUUAUAAAAGAUAAUAUUUUAUUCAAAAAGGGUGCUUAGUGAAUUAUUCAGUAAAACUUUUAAAAUAAUUACAAUAAAUCCUCUUACAUAACCUUGUUUGCCGCUGCCUCCCAAAUGUUUACAACUUGUACACUUAACUCCCUUUUAAGUAUUGAAUAGUAAAUGCAAGAGUGUUGGGCCAUAACAGAAAAUACUUAAAUUUAACUCUUUAGCCCUUUUU